GACGAACGCUGGCGGCGUGCCUAAUACAUGCAAGUCGAACGAAAAGACCAGGAGCUUGCUCCUCCGACGUCAUCACCCGACGGGAGCUUACCACGUGGACAACCUACCUAUACGACUGGGAUACUUAUACGAAACCGGAGCUAAUACCGGAUAACAUAUUGAACCGCAUGGUUCACCAGUGGAAGACGCUCUUGCUGACACUAAAAGCUGACUCCGCGCCGCAUUAGCUAGUUGGUAAGGUAACGGCUUACCAAGGCAACGAUGCGUAGCCGACCUGAGAGGGUGGUCGGCCACACUGGAACUGAGACACGGUCCAGACUCCGACGGGAGGCAGCAGUAGGGAAUCCUCCGCAAGGGGCGAAAGCCUGACGGAGCAAAGCCGCGUGAGUGAAGAAGGUCUUCGGAUCGUAGAACUCUGUUAUUAGUGAAGAACAAAUGUGUAAGUAACUAUGCACGUCUUGACGGUACCUAAUCAGAAAGCCACGGCUAACUACGUG
rnacentral:rRNA from 1 species